ACCCCAAAACACCCAAAUAUCCCAAAUCUGCCCCAAACAUCCCCAAAUCCUGACCCCAAUCCCAUCCCUGACCCCAAAUCCCCCCCAAACAUCCCCAAAUCUGCCCCCAAAACACCCAAACAUCCCAAAAUCCGCCCCAAACACCCCCCGCUCCCGCCCCCAAUCCCACCCCAGUCCCUAUAACCCCAUCCUGCCCCACACCCCCAGGGAAACCCUCCCAUUUUGGGGCCGUCCCACUUCCCCUCCCCGUCUGUGGGGCACGUGAGGCCCCGUGAGUCAGCGUGGGGUUGGGUGCGGGGUGCAGUUUGGGGUGCGCUGUGGGGCGGCCCCAAAACUAUUUGGGGUCUUUUGGGGGCAGCUUUGGAAGCGGCCGGAGGCAGCGAUGAACCCCUGCGUGCCCUACAAGAAGCUGCCCCCCGCGGACCCCGCAGCGAUGGAUUCCCCCCGCCGCCUCCCCGUGCCGGCGCUGCUCUGUGCCACCCUCGGGGUUCUUUCCUUCCUCCUCCUCUUCCUCUGCUUCGGCCUCGGGGGAACCUCGGAGCUGCGGGGUCACAGCGGGGCCGGAGGCUGCGGGGACACCUGCAGAGCUGUCCUGGUGCAGAGCACCCCGCAGGGUUUGCAUUGCAUGGUGUUGCAUUGCAUGGUGUUGCAUGGUGUUGCAUUGCAUGGUGUUGCAUUGCAGAGCCGUGCUGGUGCAGAGCACCCCGCAGGGUUUGCAUUGCAUUGC
rnacentral:lncRNA from 1 species